GUGCUCACCUAAGCAGCACAUAUUCUAAAAAUUGGAACAAUACAGAGAAGAUUAGCAUGGGCCCUGUGAAAGGGUGGCACGCAAACUCGUGAAGUAUUACAUAAAAAA
ensembl:snRNA U6 U6 spliceosomal RNA